AACGAACGCUAGCGGCAGGCCUAACACAUGCAAGUCGAGGGGUAGAGUUAGCUUGCUAACUUGAGACCGGCGCACGGGUGCGUAACGCGUAUGCAAUCUACCUUGUACAGAGGGAUAGCCCAGAGAAAUUUGGAUUAAUACCUCAUAGUGUUAUGAUGUGGCAUCACAUUAUAACUAAGGUUCCAACGGUACAAGAUGAGCAUGCGUCCCAUUAGUUAGUUGGUAAGGUAACGGCUUACCAAGAGAAUGAUGGGUAGGGGUCCUGAGAGGGAGAUCCCCACCACUGGUACUGAGACACGGAUCAGACUCCUACGGGAGGCAGCAGAGAGGAAUAUUGGUCAAUGGGCGCAAGCCUGAACCAGCCAUGCCGCGUGCAGGAUGACGGUCCUAUGGAUUGUAAACUGCUUUUAUACAGGAAGAAGCACUCCCUCGUGAGGGAGCUUGACGGUACUGUAGGAAUAAGGAUCGGCUAACUCCGUGCCAGCAGCCGCGGUAACAC
rnacentral:rRNA from 1 species